AAUAACGCUCCUGUAAAGCCUGUCAAAAAAAACGCACAUGUGGUGGCAUAAUAUCACUUUUAUGUAGUUGAUUUCGCAGUAUAAAUGGUCAUAGGAUGCUGCGCGGUCGGCUGCACAAACAGACGAGGAUGAAAACCAAACAUGUCAUUUUAUUGUAUAACUUAACGAGGAAAGAUACGGCGGCGACGGAUAGCAACUGUUAAUCAUAAUGACCGUCAGCCCUCGGUGUAACCGCGAAUUUGCAGAGAACAUUUUUUACAAGCUGAUCAGAAACAGACUUCUGAAGCCGACGAACAUCAAGUGACCCACUUUCCUGAAGUGACCUGGACCAACCAAAAGCAGAUCAUCUUCCAUCCACUUAUGAUUUGGGCGUGGAUUCGGCUGAUAAAUGCACAGCCACACACACCAGGACAGCAGGGACGAAUGCCUCAAGCCACCAUUUUGCUUUGCAUUAAUACAACCUGCCUCCAGCUAAAUUACCUGCAUGCCGCACACACUCCUACAUCUGGCUGCCUGUAAAACGGCGCUAGUUAGACGGACAAGCCAAUCUGAGAGGAGUCUGACUUUAAUUUGAGGAGCGGUUGUGAUUGGCUGAAUCACAAUUGGUGUUAACAAGCAACUGUUACAGAAGCCUGAGGCUCACUAAACUGCAGACAUGCAAGCAGUGCAAUAUUCAAAAGGUGAACUUCCGCUCCCUGAGGCCGGCGAUCCUGUCCCAAAACCCGGAGAGCCACCGAGAGAACCCGGUGAUCCAGUGCC